GCUGGGCGUGGUGGCGCAUGCCUGUAAUCCCAGUGGCUCGGGAGGCUGAAGCAGGAGGAUCGAGAGUUCAAAGCCAGCCUCAGCAAAAGUGAGGCACUAAGAAACUCAGUGAGAACCUGUCUCUA
rnacentral:sRNA from 1 species